AGCGAACGCUGGCGGCAGGCCUAACACAUGCAAGUCGAACGAAGUCUUCGGACUUAGUGGCGGACGGGUGAGUAACACGUGGGAACGUGCCUUUAGGUUCGGAAUAACUCAGGGAAACUUGUGCUAAUACCGAAUGUGCCCAUCGGGGGAAAGAUUUAUCGCCUUUAGAGCGGCCCGCGUCUGAUUAGCUAGUUGGUGAGGUAAAGGCUCACCAAGGCUACGAUCAGUAGCUGGUCUGAGAGGAGGACCAGCCACAUUGGGACUGAGACACGGCCCAAACUCCUACGGGAGGCAGCAGUGGGGAAUCUUGCGCAAUGGGCGAAAGCCUGACGCAGCCAUGCCGCGUGGAUGAUGAAGGUCUUAGGAUUGUAAAAUCCUUUCACCGGUGAAGAUAAUGACUGUAGCCGGAGAAGAAGCCCCGGCUAACUUCGUGCCAGCAGCCGCCGUAACAC
rnacentral:rRNA from 1 species